GACGAACGCUGGCGGCGUGCCUAAUACAUGCAAGUUGAGCGCUGAAGGUUGGUACUUGUACCAACUGGAUGAGCAGCGAACGGGUGAGUAACGCGUGGGGAAUCUGCCUUUGAGCGGGGGACAACAUUUGGAAACGAAUGCUAAUACCGCAUAAAAACUUUAAACACAAGUUUUAAGUUUGAAAGAUGCAAUUGCAUCACUCAAAGAUGAUCCCGCGUUGUAUUAGCUAGUUGGUGAGGUAAAGGCUCACCAAGGCGAUGAUACAUAGCCGACCUGAGAGGGGGGUCGGCCACCUUGGGACUGGGACACCGCCCAAACUCCUACGGGGGGCAGCCGUAGGGAAUCUUCGGCCAUGGACGAAAGUCUUGCCGGACAACGCCGCGUGAGUGGAGGAGGUUUUCGGGUCGUAAAACUCUGUUGGUAGGGAAGAACGUUGGUGAGAGUGGAAAGCUCAUCAAGUGACGGUAACUACCCAGAAAGGGACGGCUAACUACGUG
rnacentral:rRNA from 1 species